CCUACGGGAGGCAGCAGUAGGGAAUUUUCGUCAAUGGGCGCAAGCCUGAACGAGCAAUGCCGCGUGAACGAGGAAGGUCUUCGGAUCGUAAAGUUCUGUUGAAGGGGAAAAAGAGCGGAGAGAGGAAAUGGUCUCCGAUUGAUAUUACCCUUCGAGGAAGUCACGGCUAACUACGUGCCAGCAGCCGCGGUAAUACGGAGGUGGCGAGCGUUAUCCGGAAUGAUUGGGCGUAAAGGGUGCGUAGGCGGCCUGCGAAGUCUGGAGUGAAAGGUACCGGCUCAACCGGUACAGGCUCUGGAAACUGGCGGGCUAGAGAGCAGGAGAGGGCGGUGGAACUCCAUGUGUAGCGGUAAAAUGCGUAGAUAUAUGGAAGAACACCAGUGGCGAAGGCGGCCGCCUGGCCUGUUACUGACGCUGAGGCACGAAAGCGUGGGGAGCAAAUAGGAUUAGAUACCCCAGUAGUC
rnacentral:rRNA from 1 species